rnacentral:rRNA from 1 species
GCCAGCAGCCAUGUCACCCUGCAACUUACAAUUGGCAACCCACUGAAGCUAAGCGGAUGUGAGCCUGGUCAGUACCUGGAUGGGAGACCUCCUGGGAAAAACAAAGGUUGCUGCUGGAA